GAUGAACGCUGGCGGCGUGCUUAACACAUGCAAGUCGAACGGAAAGGCCCAAGCUUGCUUGGGUACGCGAGGGGCGGACGGGUGAGUAGCACGUGGGUGAUCUGCCCCGCCCUUCGGGAUAAGCCUGGGAAACUGGGUCUAAUACCGGAUAGGACAGUGGUUUGGAUGAUAUUGUGGAAAGUUUUUUCGGUGUGGGAUGAGUUCGCGGCCUAUCAGGUUGUUGGUGGUGGUAGGGCCUACCGAUGCGUCGACGGGUAGCCGUCCUGGGAGGGGGUACGGCAACAGUCAGACUGGGACUCAGCCCAGACUCCGACGGCAGGCAGCAGCGGGGAAUGUGGCUCAAUGGCAACGAGCCUGAGGCAGCUCCGGCGAGGGCGCGAUGAUGGCCUUCGGCUUAUAGUCGUAUAUCUCUUUGGACCAAGCGGUAUAUGACAGUACCUAGAGAAUAAGCACCGGCUAACUCCGUG
rnacentral:rRNA from 1 species